rnacentral:pre_miRNA from 1 species
AAACUACUCCCUCCGUUCUGAAUUACUUGUCUUAGAUUUGUCUAGAUGCGAAGGUAUCUAGCACUAAAAUGAGUCUAGAUACAUCCGUAUCUAGACAAAUCCAAGACAAGUAAUUCGGAACGGAGGGAGUACAUC